CCUACGGGAGGCAGCAGUGAGGAAUAUUGGUCAAUGGGGGAAACCCUGAUGCAGCGACGCCGCGUGGGUGAAGAAGCGCCUCGGCGCGUAAAGCUCUGUCAGCAGGGAAGAAAAUGACGGUACCUGAAGAAGAUGCCCCGGCUAACUACGUGCCAGCAGCCGCGGUAAUACGGAGGGGGCAAGCGUUAUCCGGAUUUACUGGGUGUAAAGGGGGCGCAGACGGCGAUGCAAGCCAGGAGUGAAAGCCCGGGGCCCAACCCCGGGACUGCUCUUGGAACUGCGUGGCUAGAGUGCAGGAGGGGCAGGCGGAAUUCCUGGUGUAGCGGUGAAAUGCGUAGAUAUCAGGAGGAACACCGAUGGCGAAGGCGGCCUGCUGGACUGCAACUGACGUUGAGGCCCGAAAGCGUGGGGAGCAAACAGGAUUAGAUACCCGAGUAGUC
rnacentral:rRNA from 1 species